UACCUACGGGGGGCAGCAGUGGGGGAUAUUGCACAAUGGGGGAAACCCUGAUGCAGCGACGCCGCGUGGGUGAAGAAGCGCCUCGGCGCGUAAAGCCCUGUCAGCAGGGAAGAAAAUGACGGUACCUGAAGAAGCCCCGGCUAACUACGUGCCAGCAGCCGCGGUAAUACGUAGGGGGCAAGCGUUAUCCGGAUUUACUGGGUGUAAAGGGGGCGCAGACGGCGAUGCAAGCCAGGAGUGAAAGCCCGGGGCCCAACCCCGGGACUGCUCUUGGAACUGCGUGGCUAGAGUGCAGGAGGGGCAGG
rnacentral:rRNA from 1 species